UUCUUCCUCUGGUUUGUUUAGUUGAGGUCGGCAUCACCUUCGUGCCGCACUAGAGCCACCUUCAGGACGCAGGUUUCCUGAUGAUAAGUGAAGAAUAAAUCACAUGGGUCUCCUCCACCUGCAGUAAGAUGAAUGUUUCGCCUCUACAUCUGUUUCAUCUGAGUCUGGGUCACCACAAAUUUGAGCGAGAGGAGUGUAAAUACAUUGAUAUUUUAGGU